UUAGAAAUCAACUCGUAAAUUCUUUGGUUAGAAUAUUUUUUAGUAAUUGGGUCCUUAUUCCAUUCAGUGCAAAGAGUCGGGGCAUGAGAAACGAUGUGACUCCUAUACUAAGAUUAUGAAGAAAUUUUGCAACGGAUCAGUAACUGCAGCUGCUGGCCCUUCCCCAUCCGAUAUUGGCGCAACUCUUCUUCUGGGAUCCGCCUUUGGAUGCUUGUACAAGCUGCGGCAUUCGUCGUCAGACAGAGAUAAAAUUACCUGCUUGGAAAAAUACAGCAAAUUGGUGCAAAUGACCCGAUGAUGUAUCUGAAAGAGAAGUCCAAAAGCAACUCAUGAUUGUGAUUAAUAUUCUUUAUGGUUUUGAUCAGUACGUAGUUUAAUUUACCCGCUAAGUGUUUAUACUUUUGUUACCUUUUUUUCGAUUCUAUUGUACUUUAGG